rnacentral:lncRNA from 1 species
AUGGAGCGAGUUAUUAAGGUAUUGCUUCAGCUCUGUAAGGACUAUUACGGGAAGGCUUCCCCGUCUCGGGAGGAAAUAGCAGCCGUGCUAACGCGGCUGGAGCAGGAGGGCUCCUUACCUCAUCCCGAGGCCGUGUUAGAUCCCGAGAUGUGGGAUUCCCUCACAGUGGCUCUCGCCACCUACACGGCUCGCAGGCUGCUCGGGUUGCAAGGGGACCCGGGACGGGGUUCGGACCUGGGGGGCCGAGAUGGGGCUGGGGAGCCGGGGGGUUGUGCUUUGUUGGCAGACUGCCCGGGAAAACCGACCGCAAGCGUACCGGUUAGCGGCGAGAACAAAGAGAAUCAACCGUCCCUACAACCAGCGUUGCGGAACGAACUUCCAACGGUGCCGGACGCUCCGCCUCCGUAUCCGCAGCGACCAUUCCCAGCCCCAUGCAAUAGCCAACCCUUCGACCGUCCUCUCUAACUCCGAUGAGAGAACACACGCAGACGAUAACGGUCAACAAUGAUGUGUUUGGAGGAGCCUGUUUGGUGGACUAGGAGCGUGGGCCCUCCGAAUGCUUCAAGCGAUGGGUGCAGUGCUCCUGGGGUUCGUCUGCGUUGUCUUUUGCUCGCCAUGCUUAACGCGAUGUGUGCAGCAGUGAAUGAUGGAGCGAGCUUUUGAUCAGCGUAUGGAAUAUCGUAGGCUGCGUCAACGCCUGUAGUUUUAGGACAGCUAGCAAUGCAUCACUCUAUCACCCGCUCUUCCUUUUCUCCUCCAUGUAGAGUUUUAAUAAUAGACAGCUUGGUUAGGAAACAGGCGUAGAGGUGUAGGGAAUUUGCGAUCGCGCUGUAACGGGGCAAAGCUUUUCCAGGCACGGGGAAGGGGGAAGAUGGAGCAGGCGGCGAACCAAGCGUGCGGGAUGUGACGCGACAGGACCUCCCCUGCCUGGCGUGUGUGGGCGUAGACGAAGCUAACGAGGCUGUGUAAGCCACAAUAAACGCCCUUUUGCCGUUCA